rnacentral:rRNA from 1 species
UACGGAGGGUGCGAGCGUUGUCCGGAAUCACUGGGCGUAAAGGGCGCGUAGGUGGCGCGGGCAGUCAACGGUGAAAGUUCGGGGCUCAACCCUGAAUCGGCCGUCGAUACUCCCGGGCCUGAGCACUGUAGAGGCAGAUGGAAUUCCGGGUGUAGCGGUGGAAUGCGUAGAGAUCCGGAAGAACACCGGUGGCGAAGGCGGUCUGCUGGGCAGUUGCUGACACUGAGGCGCGACAGCGUGGGGAGCAAACAGG